ensembl:lncRNA
GAAAAAGCCAGCUAGGUGGCGCAUAGCAUCUUCCUCCAUUGCCACAUAAGCCAUUUUCCUUUUUCUUCAAAACUAUUUCAUGGUUUAACCUUCGAUCCAUACAACACAGAGUUAAAAGCUAUUUCUGCACCAUGUAAGAGAUAAUGUUCGGCGAGCCGGACAUUAAUGUGAGAUAAACUGACGUAAAAGGUACUGACAGCACCGUGCGAGACUUGACCCACCUUCAAGGAAUUGAUGUACAAUUCGACAUCUUCAAUCACCAUCUUGAAGUCAUCCUGAGAGUUGAGAAGUCAUAAGUUAGUCUAUUAGCAGUUUUAAAGACAUUUGUUCCCUUGACCAGUCGUCCAACUGGUCUGACCCCUUAAGUAGCAUAACAGCGGCUCAAAGAGGUGGAAAUGAUGCAUGGGAAAUAAUUAAAUUAAAUCUAAUUAAAUUAAAGGUGC